GUUUAAUUUCCUUACAGAAAAACUGCUCAGUCCCAGGCUAUGAGGAAACCCCAGAUUGGCUCCUCAGGAAUGUGUCUUUAUUUCACAGAGGCACCACUGAGCUGAAACUGUAUAGUACACGUGCUACGCGAAGGUCUUUCUUGCCGGACUACAGUGUGUGCUUACCUGUGCAUUAGUCUCUGUAAACCCUGGGAUGGCACUCUGUACAUUGAUCUAAGAAGCUUAAGGGCAAGGCAUGAGGACUGGGUUUUUAUUAAACAAUUUAGUAAUUAUAAAAGUUUCUUGUGUUUACUAGUAAAGAAUUUUAGAAAUUAUUUUAAUUGAACAAAAUUUUUAAAAAAACUUUGUAAUUGGAGGGAAAAGUUUGAGGGUGGAGGGGGUAGAGGAAAGUGGGCCACAAAAUACAAAUUUACCUCUUUCAUUGGGUGGCUCUUCAGGCCAUUGAUGAGAUACAUAGACUUGCACAUUGGAGAGAAAAUACAGAGAUUAGACUUGUAUAUUAAACCUGCAGACACGGCCAUGUGCUGAGAUGUGUAGCUCUGCUCCCGUAUGGGGCUCUGCAGAACAAAGAGGUGCUGCAGUGAGCAGCUUCCUGGGACCUGCAGGGACACUCACUCUCCGUCACCUCUGUUCUAGUGACUAACAAAAUUUGUGUUCAAGGUAACUUGCCUGUUGACUUUUUUUUUUUUUUUUUGGUCUUCCAUUUUUGUCUUCCUUUAAUUUGACUUUAUGUAGUUCUGGAAGUAACAGAUAAACUAUAGUACAAAAGAAAAACUGUGAGCUAUAUAGUGCUUUUUUAAGUACAUAUUUUAAAGUUUCUUAAAGCAGUUGAUUUCUCCUCUCCACUUCCCCCUACUGAACCAAUUUCUGUUAUGAAAUUUGCUAUCAGUGGUGGGGUCUUAACGUGAUAGCAGUUAGAUUUUGUAUUCCAUAACUGGUAAUACAGGUUUUUUGUUUGUUCUUUUUUAUUAAUGUAGCUUCUUGAGGGGAAGUCUGUUUAAUCUCCUAUUCUCAAAGCACACCGCAGUUCUGGUUGAACUAAACCUUGGUGAACAGAGGGCACAGGAUCCCGAGAGUUGUUGAGUGGUCCCUUGCUAUAGUUUCUAGGUGUGUGUUUACUCAGUGAAUCAGUAACCUGAACUACCUACAGCAGCACAGCAGUGUGGCCGCAGUGGGACUAGUGGGCUAUGUUAGUGCCGCACAUGCCCUGGCUUCUCUGUGUAGUCAGACAUACUGAAGGUUAGCAUUGAACACUGGCCUGUUUUCUAGCCAAAAUGUUCAGACGUGAGCAACCACUUCUUUGAGAGUGAAGCAGGAACUGACCAUUGAUAUUUGUAUCUAUGUGUACUGACUAAUAAUGCUGGCAUCCUGGACAAUACUGUGAUCUGGGAAAGCUCUGAAAACUGGUUCCAGCCGCCCUGCACACCAGACUGUGCUUUUCCAUGCUGUUAUAUUGUGCUCCUUUUAAAUCAAGUAGCAUGCUGCAUUCCUCAGGAUAGUAGCUUUUGCUGUGUAAUGUCACUUGCUUUGAAUUUUCAAUCAUGCUUUCGCCAUUACAUUUAACCAAUGAUGUCAUUAAGUUCUAUUAAAGUGUCAUUCCUUUGGGAAGCAAGGGAUUCCCACUUGCAGAAUUUUAAGAUGAAGGUAGCAUGUUUUGUUCAGAAGGUGGAAAUAGGGACUCGAACAGUGUCUUCAGAAGCUGAUCUGUUGAGAUUUGUGUGCACAGUGAAGGCACCUCUUACAUGAUGUGAGGCCAGUAGCGCUAAGGUAAAUUUACACAGAUGACUAAGGUGGGAUGUGUGCCUUCCAGUCCAUGAACUCUUGCCUGGUGGUCGUUUGUAUUCUCACACCACCAAAAUGCCCGUGAGCACAUGGGAUUUCCUAGAGUAAUACAACUUUGUCACGUGCAGUUUCUAGAGUCAAACAGGAUAGGAGGGGGUCUUUAUAUUAGGCUUUUAUAUCUGAAAUGUUCACAUGUCUAUUAAAUGUGUCACACUUACACUGUUGCCUUUUGAAAAGUCAGGCUGGCAUCAAGAUUCAUGCAGUACAUAUAGUUAUCAAAGUGUGUUAUUGACAAGCAUUCUGGCUUUAGAAGGCAAUGUAAAAAAAUACUAAUUUUUAUAUAAAGGCUUUCUUUUGCUGUAUUGAAAAUCAGGUUUUUCUUUUGGUGACUUGUAUGGAUGAAUGCAGAGUUGUCUCCCUCUGAGAAUAUUUUUUUUAUUAUCUUAUAGCAAUAAUGUCACCAUAUUAGAGGGUAAGUAUUCCUUGAAUAAGAAAACACACAUAUCUCCUCUUAGCAGUUUUCCCUUUAUAACAGCAUUUUCUUCCACUUGAGAAGGCUCUUAUAUUUUCAUAUUACUUCAUCUUGAACUUUUGAGCUUUUGUGCAAUGUGCUAUUUUAUUGGAUCUUUGUACGUUUUCAUUUCAUGUUUCCUCCCUACCUGUCUGAAGCUGCUAUAGCUGAUGUUGGGGUUUCGGUUAAUGGUUAUGUGUUUUCUCAUCUUUAUUAAAGUUAGGUUUAUCUUUUAAUUUGUUACCCUUAUGGAAAUUAUUCUGGUUUAUACUCUUCCCCCUGGAAGCCUGCCUUUGUCCAUCUGUUAUCUUACUUUCGUGCAUGAUUUAAGGAAGAUUGCAUCAAAUUUAAUAUUUUUAUUUUGAAGAAGAAAAGCUUCCUACCAUUUGAGGGGAGAACAAAACAACAUUGAAUAAAGAAUUGGUCGUUCAGUCAAACUUCCUUAAGUCAGUUCAGAAUGCCUCGGUUACACCGAUGGGGGCUCGUCCCUAGCUGGUCAGAGUUACUGUUGUCGACUGCUGUUGUACAUACUGUUAUGUGUAAGGGCGUAAAUAUAUUUAUUAUGUUUGUAAAAUUCAUUCUGUACACUUGCAGAUCAAGGUUGCUCUUCUGUGAUAUAUCGGGUGUUACGUUUUAAAGACCAUCUUGGAAUACAACUAAAGAGCUUAGUAUUUUGAUGUACUAAGACUAUUUUAAGUUUAAUAUUUUACCUUGCAAAAACUUUAAUUAAAGAUGUUAUUUAAAAAAAGUAAUGUGGCUUGCUUUGCUUACUAGUCAGUGACGCUGGUAUAUGGACAACUGAGAAAACUAAAACCAUGCAGUUUAGACAGGAAGUUCAACAAAAACGGGGAUAUCGUUAAAUUUUGUACCCUCGGUUAAAUCUGUACCUGUAAGGUAGUGGGUUUGGGAUGCCAGACUGAAUUGUUAAACUGUGUUAGAAUUCCUUAAGCGCUUUCAAAAGUUGUAUUUUCCAGGCACAGAAGCAUUUAGAAUGGGUAAAUUCACACCAAGUAAAUGUAAAUUAAGGUUAAUAUAAUUAACAUUGUAUUAAAUGAGUAUUUCUGCUCACGAAGCUUAGAUUCCACCAGAUGAAGUUAUUAAGGACAUCGUUUUGUUUGUUUGGCUAAACUGUCUCUCAGUUCGGAGUUUGUAAAUAAUCGCUCACUAGGAGAUUGGGUUAUUGAGGUUUGUAUUACAUAGGAAUAUAUUUUGUGUUACUUUACAAGAUAUUAAAAUUACUAGCAGUAUUUUGAUUUUAUAGUUAAUUCAAAUGGAUCAUUAAGAGCUUGCCUUUUUGUAAUUUUUUAUCCUGUUAUAAACUACUUUAUCUAAGGAAACAUGCAGAUUUUAACUAUUAAAUAAUCAUAAUAAAGAUAUUUUAUUUAUUGCCAGC
rnacentral:lncRNA from 1 species